rnacentral:rRNA from 1 species
GCAGCAGCCGCGGGAAUACGUAGGUGGCAAGCGUUAUCCGGAAUUAUUGGGCGUAAAGCGCGCGUAGGCGGUUUUUUAAGUCUGAUGUGAAAGCCCACGGCUCAACCGUGGAGGGUCAUUGGAAACUGGAAAACUUGAGUGCAGAAGAGGAAAGUGGAAUUCCAUGUGUAGCGGUGAAAUGCGCAGAGAUAUGGAGGAACACCAGUGGCGAAGGCGACUUUCUGGUCUGUAACUGACGCUGAUGUGCGAAAGCGUGGGGAUCAAACAGGAUUAGAUACCCCCGUAGUCCCUGUCUCUUAUAA